ACAUACAGGACAAGCCUACAAACGUGGCUCGGUUUGGACGGUGAGUCCCGGGACGUGGCUGAGAACUUCGAACACUGUGUUGAUGUGGAGUUUGACAAUAUUCCCGAGGAUGCUUGCUUCCAUCACACGUGCUACCGUAGAUUUACGGACAAAAAAUCCAUGGCAAAGGUGGAAAGAAGGAGAAGUUCGUCAACCGAGCAGGCAAACGACAAAGGGAUACUCUGUCAAAGGCUGAAACAUUAACAGCAGGCCAAUUGCAGAAAGCUGCCGAGUUGAAGGACGACCAAAGUAUUCUUUUGCAUAUAAAAGACAAAGACUGUGUGGCUCUGGAGGUGCAGUACCACAAAGGCUGUUAUAAUCAGUACACCAGGUUUUUGACGAGGCCUGAAAAACCAGAGAAAGACCAGAAUGAGCCCACGUUUGAUGUCAGCGAUAAGAUAUUCUGUGAAAGGAUCAUUCGCCAAAGGCUGCUUGUCAACCAAGAGGUGCUGAGAAUGGGCUGAGGAAGGCCUUCAUUGAACUGGUGAAAGCAAAUGAAGGUCUUGAUGCUUCAAACUACAGGGAACUGCAAUGCAUUUUUCUCUCACGUCUUAUUAUUUGUCAUGUGCAAGUCCAGCUUUACACAACAUGUGUGUGACAGGCCUGAGAAACUGUUUUUAAUUCUUGCUGUUUGCACAAACAUGUACCAGUUGGCAACAAGGAGAAGUGUGUGCGUGCGUGAUGUUGUGUGCCUUUCUUGGGCAUCUUUGGUGUUCAAUGUGCUGUAUGGCAGAUAGGUUCUAGCCUGUAAUGUCUUGUACCACCUGCACCACUCUCUGUUUUCAUGAUACUCCUGUGACUCUUAAUUGUCACUGUUUUGUUGUGUUGCAGACAGGAUAUGUUGAAGGAGAGGCUGGCUCGUGAUUUCCCCCAGCUGGUGUUUCACAUCCCCACCAAGCGCAACAUCUGCGAGCUGGUUUUUGCAGAGACCCUGUCAACCAUUGACAUUACCAAGGUGUCAUCAGCUCUUGGAACCAGUGUGUGUUCAGCCUUGAUCGGAAUUCACACAUUCUCUGGGUGUGACUCCACAAGUGCCUUUUAUGGCAAAGGGAAAAAAAGACAUUUUCUGUUGCAUGUGAGAAAGGUGAGUACCUAAAGGCUUUUAAAAGUGUAGGUACUCACUUUAACUUGGAGCAGUCAACAUUUGCACUUCUUUGCCAGUAUGUGUGCCACUUAUAUGAUCAGCCAGCUGCCGAUAAUGUAAAUGAAGCUAGGUACAAGGCUUUCUGUAUGGCAUCAUCAGCCUUGCCAGAAAUAUGCAUUCCCCCAACGACUGAUGCCCUCCAACAGCACUGCAAACGGGCAAACUACCAGGCUGCAAUAAUGAGGUCCUGUCGCAAACAAAAAAGAAGUGCUCUGUCACCUGCUGGAUAUGGUUGGCAAAUAGAGGAUGGGACCUUGCACAUCACCUGGAUGACCAGAAAUCCGGCCCCUGACAGUGUUUUCCAUGUCAUACACUGCGGCUGUAAAGGUGCCUGUGAGACAGGAAGAUGUUCCUGUUUUUCUGCAGGAUUGUGUUGCACAGACUUCUGUCGUUGCUGUAAUUGUGCCAACACCAAAGACACCGAGCAACUGGAAGACAACUGUCCCGACACUGACAGUGAGGACUGAGCGUCCUUAAUAUGUUAUUUCUUUUGUAGUUUUGUACAGUUUUAUAUAUGUCAUAUUUUUCAUAAAGAUUGUUUCUAUUGUU